GUGUCAGCCGCCGCGGUAAUGCGGAGGGUGCAAGCGUUAAUCGGAAUUACUGGGCGUAAAGCGUGCGUAGGCGGUAAGUUAAGUCUGCUGUGAAAUCCCUGGGCUCAACCUGGGAAUGGCGGUGGAUACUGGCUUGCUGGAGUACGGUAGAGGAAGGUGGAGUUCCCGGUGUAGCGGUGAAAUGCGUAGAGAUCGGGAGGAACAUCAGUGGCGAAGGCGACCUUCCGGACCAGUACUGACGCUGAGGCAUGAAAGCGUGGGGAGCAAACAGGAUUAGAAACCCGCGUAGUCC
rnacentral:rRNA from 1 species